GCCUGGGUGGCUCAGUCGGUUGAGCGUCUGACUUCGGCUCAGGUCAUGAUCUCACGGCUCCUGAGUUCGAGCCCGGCUCGUGAGUUCGAGCCCCGCAUCAGGCU
rnacentral:tRNA from 1 species